UACAGAGGUCCCAAGCGUUGUUCGGAUUCACUGGGCGUAAAGGGUGCGUAGGUGGCGAGGUAAGUCGGAUGUGAAAGCUCGGAGCUCAACUCCGAAAUGGCAUUGGAAACUACCUUGCUCGAGGGUUGGAAGGGGGACUGGAAUGCUUGGUGUAGCAGUGAAAUGCGUAGAUAUCAAGCGGAACACCAGUGGCGAAGGCGAGUCCCUGGACAACUCCUGACACUGAGGCACGAAAGCUAGGGGAGCAAACAGG
rnacentral:rRNA from 1 species